rnacentral:lncRNA from 1 species
GACAGUCCACCAAAAGAUGUCAAACCAAAUCCAGCCUAUUGUAAAGCUCUGGGACCUCCCUUCCAAGGACACCGAACACAAGCUUAGACACCGCUGCGAAAAGCUGUCCAAAAGCGCCUGGCCGGACAGAAAUGGUUGCCGUGCAGGGAGUGUCAGCCACGUCUAGCGCACAGUCCCAGGCCCCAGGGCGAAGGCGGCCAGGGGAAAUGGGGCUCAGGGAUUGCUAAGCAAACGCAUCACUGGUGGUCUCCAGCGCCUGCGGAGUAUCUUUUGCUGCCUCUUACGUAUUGUAGGCAGUGCCUGAUGGCUGAGAAGAAUCGCAGAGGACUAGAAAAGGUUUGAGUCUGAAAUUAUCUGGCACAGAGGAUUAAAGCUCAGAAAUAAGUGAUUGCGAAACAGUUCAACUUCCCUGUUAAUGACAACAACAACAGCAACACGCUUAUUAAUUCCUAGCUGGAGUUUUUCCUAAUUAACAGCAUCAAGCUUAUGAAGAUUUCCAAGACUUUAUUGUUGACCCUUGUUGAAGAGAACUCUACUUGGCUUCUUUCCUGGCUUUCCUAAAUUGUUCACAUACAAGAUAAACUACCGUCAUUCAGACUUACAGAAGUGAGAAGACAAGCUGAACCAAAUGUAAAAUGGUAGCAAUUUACAGAUGUCAGAACUAACAUGUGGAUGAACUUAGAGAUGGAGAAGAAAGCUGGGCUUUUCCAAAGAGUGGAUCUAUCUGAACUGGAUAGCACUAUUGAACUUUGUUGCAUAUUUUGUGGUAGCUCUAAAACUCCUCUGCUUGCUUACAUACAACCAGACACCAGUGCCUUCUGAAGCUAAUCCAGGCCAUUUUUAUAACCUAAUGCAGUAGCACUUUGCAAUUAGAUGAAGAAGAUCGGUGGGAUUUCUUUCUGUGGUGAUUAAAAUGUGUCAGGGGAAGAAAUCAAGACAAUACUCCAAGUGAAAAAUAUAAAGUCAGUUAUUUCUUUAAUAUUUUGUGUUAUAGUAAUCAUUUUUAUAUUUUGAGCAUACUUUUUCUUGUCUACUUAAAUACUCAAAAUUAAUUAUAAAAUGUAAAUGUAAGCACAAUGAGAUACCAUCUCAUCCCAGUUAAAAUGGCUUUUAUCAAAAAGAUAGGGAAUAAUGAAUACUGGUGGAAGGAUGUGGAGAAUGGGGAACCCUCGUACACUGUCAAUGAGAAUGUAAAUUAGUACAGCCACUAUGGAAAACUGUAUGGAAGUGCCUCCGAAAACAAAGUAGAACUACCAUGUGAUCCAGCAAUUACACUAGUGGGUAUAUAUUCAAAAGAAAGGAAAUCAACAUAUUAAAGAGAUAGCUGCAUUCUCAUGUUUAUUGAAGUCCUGUUGAAAUAGCCAAAAUAUGGAAUCAACCUAAGUGCCCAUCAGUGGAUGAAUGGUUAAAGAAAAUGUGAUUGAUAUGCAAUGGAAUAUUAUUCAGCCAUAAAAAAGAAUGAAAUCCUGGCGGGGCACAGUGGCUCAUGCAAGUAAUCCCAGCACUGACCUCAUGAAGACAGAGAGUAGAUUGGUGGUUACCAGAGGUUGAGAAGGGGAGAGGAGAGGAGGGAUGAAGAGAGGUUGAUUGAUGGAUAGAAAUAUACAGUUUGAUAAUGAUAAAUCAGUAGGGUGACUAUAGUUUAUAAUAACCUAUUGUAUGGUUCAAAAUAGCUAAAAGAGAAUAAUUGAAAUAACGUAAGACAAAAAUUUAAGAUGAUAGAUAUCCCAAUUACACUGAUUUGAUCUUUACAAAUUAUAUGAAUGUAUUAAAUUAUUACAUGUAUCCCCAAAAUAUGUACAAGUAUUUUGUAUCAAUAAAAAAUAAAAUUUAAGAUAAAGUAAAUGUAAUGAUUAGCUUAUAUUUCCUAGAUCGGAAAUAAAUAUUUACUUAAGUAUGUUUAUGAUGAAGAGUUUUUUUAUAUUACUAUAAAAAUAGACACCUUACAUAAACAUAUUACAGUUGGUGUUUAGAUGGCUCUUUUUUUUCUGGCCUUGAAUUUCUGGAAAGUAGGUAUGGCCUGCUAUGUCAGGACUAGUUCUUGGAAUUCUUUGUUGUUUUUCAGUCAGCCUUAUUUUCUUGGGUCAUGUUUUGAACAAUAUUUAUCAAAUGUCUGUUUACCAGACGUUGUUCCAGAUGCUUGAACAAAAUGAAAUGUCUGCUGUCAUAGAGUUUCCAGUCUAUGUAAGACAGUAAACAAAUGUAUAAUAUAAUGCUAGAUAGUGAUAAGUGCUAAAAAGAAGAAGAAAAUAGGAAAGGGGAAAGAGAGUUUCUGUGUGAUUGUAUGUGAAAGUGUCCAUGCAUGCCGCUCACCCAGUAUUUUAAAUAGAGUGAUCAAGGAAGCCUGUCUGAAGAAGUAACAUUUGAACAGAGAUCUGAAAUAGUCAGUCACGGGAACAUUUAGGGAGAUGUUCCAGGCAGGCAUUGUGGACAAUUUAUGUCACAAAAAAGUCACCCAAGUGUUAAGUCAAGUAACAUCCUGUAUGAUAACUAUAUAUACAUUUUUUUGUUUUUUCUUAAGUGAAAAACAAACUUAUUAGGUUUUCUGGGUACUCAUUAGGUUUUCAGAAAAGUUUUUCAUUUAAUAUCAUUAUUGCUGUAUAUUUCCCUUAAUGAUUAUUCUAUUAUUUAAUACAUAAGAUUUAUGGCUCUACAGAUACAGCUUCACAAUCCCUUAUCUGUAAUUCCAAAAUACAAAAAAAUUUCUUAAUUCAUUUAGUGGCAAAAUCUGAACUGACAUGAAUCUAUUUAAAAUUAUCCUUUAUGGGCCAGGUGCAGUGGCUUACGCCUAUAAUCCCAGCACUUUGGGAGGCCAAGGCAGGAGGAUCACUUGAGGCCAGGAGUUUGAGACCAGCCUGGCCAACAUGGUGAAAUCCCAUUUCUCCUAAAAAUACAAAAAUUAGCUGGGUGUGGUGGCACAUGCUUGUGGUCCCACCUACUUGGGAGGCUGAGGCACGAGAAUCACUUGAACCUGGGAGGUGGAGGUUGCCGAGAUCUUGCCACUGCACUCCAGCCUGGGUGACAGAGCGAAACUCUUGUCUCAAAAAAAAAAAAAGUAUUUAUUCCAUUUAGUGUGACUACUGAUACAUUUCAUUGUAGAAACAUUAGUGUGUUUGAUGAAGGGUUGCUACACAUUAAGUAAAAUAUAGAUAAUACAAUGUAUUGUACCCUAAAAUAUAAAAAAAAUUAAAUCCAGAAACACGUGUUCCCAAGAAUUUUGGAUAAGGGAUUGUAGAUCUGUGUCAGAUUUCUUCUUGAUUUUCUGAUUAAAUGUUACCAUUGUUGUUAAUCUUUAGAUACAUUGUUUUUAGAAGUAUAAUGCUAUAUAGUGCCCUUAUUAUAUACUGGCAUUGCAUAAGCACUCUAUAUAUUAGCUAAUAAAAUGCUAACAACAACUUUAUGAGUAAAUUCUAUUAUUCCCAUUUUAUGGAUGAGAACACUGAGACGCAGAGAUUAAGACACCUGCCCAAAUCACAGUUACUAAAUAGCAGAGCUAGAACUCAG